rnacentral:rRNA from 1 species
CCGCGCGCGCGGCGGGCUACGGGAGGCAGCAGUGGGGAAUAUUGCACAAUGGGCGCAAGCCUGAUGCAGCCAUGCCGCGUGUAUGAAGAAGGCCUUCGGGUUGUAAAGUACUUUCAGCGGGGAGGAAGGCGUUGUGGUUAAUAACCGCAGCGAUUGACGUUACCCGCAGAAGAAGCACCGGCUAACUCCGUGCCAGCAGCCGCGGUAAUA